AUAUAAUGCACCUGGGGUGCUGAGAAAAUGCAGAUUCUGACUCAGGUCUAGGGUGGGAUCUGAGGCUCUGCACUUCUAACAAGCCCCAGAUGAUGCUAAU
rnacentral:pre_miRNA from 1 species